UACGGAGGGUGCGAGCGUUGUCCGGAAUCACUGGGCGUAAAGGGCGCGUAGGCGGCGCGGGUAGUCAUCGGUGAAAGUUCAGGGCUCAACUCUGAAUCGGCCGGUGAUACUCCCGUGCUCGAGCACUGUAGAGGCAGGCGGAAUUCCGGGUGUAGCGGUGGAAUGCGUAGAGAUCCGGAAGAACACCGGUGGCGAAGGCGGCCUGCUGGGCAGUUGCUGACACUGAGGCGCGACAGCGUGGGGAGCAAACAGG
rnacentral:rRNA from 1 species